rnacentral:rRNA from 1 species
AGGACGAACGCUGGCGGCGUGCUUAACACAUGCAAGUCGAGCGGUAAGGCCUUUCGGGGUACACGAGCGGCGAACGGGUGAGUAACACGUGGGUGAUCUGCCCUGCACUUCGGGAUAAGCCUGGGAAACUGGGUCUAAUACCGGAUAUGACCUCAGGUUGCAUGACUUGGGGUGGAAAGAUUUAUCGGUGCAGGAUGGGCCCGCGGCCUAUCAGCUUGUUGGUGGGUAAUGGCCUACCAAGGCGACGACGGGUAGCCGACCUGAGAGGGUGACCGGCCACACUGGGACUGAGACACGGCCCAGACUCCUACCGGGAGGCAGCGAGUAGGGGAAUAUUGCACAAUGGGACGAAAGCCUGAUGACGAGCGACGCCGCGUGAGGAUGACCGGCGUUCGGGUGUAACCUCUUCAGCAGGACGAA